rnacentral:ribozyme from 1 species
CCUCGAUAUUGCAUUUGAUCAGGGUCAUCCAGAUCAACGCCAUUCGGAACAUUGGUGGGAUAGAGAAGAUUGGCCACUCGAUGGACGUCAAUGGUCCUACAACGG